UUGAACGCUGGCGGCAUGCCUUACACAUGCAAGUCGAACGGCAGCGCGUCCUUCGGGAUGGCGGCGAGUGGCGAACGGGUGAGUAAUACAUCGGAACGUGCCCGAGAGUGGGGGAUAACGCAGCGAAAGCUGUGCUAAUACCGCAUACGAUCUCAGGAUGAAAGCAGGGGACCGCAAGGCCUUGCGCUCACGGAGCGGCCGAUGGCAGAUUAGGUAGUUGGUGGGAUAAAAGCUUACCAAGCCGACGAUCUGUAGCUGGUCUGAGAGGACGACCAGCCACACUGGGACUGAGACACGGCCCAGACUCCUACGGGAGGCAGCAGUAGGGAAUCUUCCGCAAUGGGCGCAAGCCUGACGGAGCGACGCCGCGUGAGUGAUGAAGGCCUUCGGGUCGUAAAGCUCUGUUCUUGAGGACGAAUAAGCCAGGGAGUGGAAAGCCCUGGUGAUGACUGUACUCAAGGAGAAAGCUCCGGCUAACUACGUG
rnacentral:rRNA from 1 species